GGCUUAGAAGCAGCCAUCAUUUAAAGAAAGCGUAAUAGCUCACUGGUCGAGUCGGCCUGCGCGGAAGAUGUAACGGGGCUAAACCAUGCACCGAAGCUGCGGCAGCGACACUGUGUGUUGUUGGGUAGGGGAGCGUUCUGUAAGCCUGUGAAGGUGUGUCGUGAGGCAUGCUGGAGGUAUCAGAAGUGCGAAUGCUGACAUAAGUAACGAUAAAGCGGGUGAAAAGCCCGCUCGCCGGAAGACCAAGGGUUCCUGUCCAACGUUAAUCGGGGCAGGGUGAGUCGACCCCUAAGGCGAGGCCGAAAGGCGUAGUCGAUGGGAAACGGGUUAAUAUUCCCGUACUUGGUGUUACUGCGAAGGGGGGACGGAGAAGGCUAUGUUGGCCGGGCGACGGUUGUCCCGGUUUAAGCGUGUAGGUGUGUGUUCCAGGUAAAUCCGGUUCACUUUAACACUGAGGCGUGACGACGAGGCACUACGGUGCUGAAGCAACAAAUGCCCUGCUUCCAGGAAAAGCCUCUAAGCAUCAGGUAACAUCAAAUCGUACCCCAAACCGACACAGGUGGUCAGGUAGAGAAUACCAAGGCGCUUGAGAGAACUCGGGUGAAGGAACUAGGCAAAAUGGUGCCGUAACUUCGGGAGAAGGCACGCUGACACGUAGGUGAAGUGAUUUACUCAUGGAGCUGAAGUCAGUCGAAGAUACCAGCUGGCUGCAACUGUUUAUUAAAAACACAGCACUGUGCAAACACGAAAGUGGACGUAUACGGUGUGACGCCUGCCCGGUGCCGGAAGGUUAAUUGAUGGGGUCAGCGCAAGCGAAGCUCCUGAUCGAAGCCCCGGUAAACGGCGGCCGUAACUAUAACGGUCCUAAGGUAGCGAAAUUCCUUGUCGGGUAAGUUCCGACCUGCACGAAUGGCGUAAUGAUGGCCAGGCUGUCUCCACCCGAGACUCAGUGAAAUUGAACUCGCUGUGAAGAUGCAGUGUACCCGCGGCAAGACGGAAAGACCCCGUGAACCUUUACUAUAGCUUGACACUGAACAUUGAGCCUUGAUGUGUAGGAUAGGUGGGAGGCUUUGAAGUGUGGACGCCAGUCUGCAUGGAGCCGACCUUGAAAUACCACCCUUUAAUGUUUGAUGUUCUAACGUGGACCCGUUACCCGGGUUGCGGACAGUGUCUGGUGGGUAGUUUGACUGGGGCGGUCUCCUCCUAAAGAGUAACGGAGGAGCACGAAGGUUGGCUAAUCCUGGUCGGACAUCAGGAGGUUAGUGCAAUGGCAUAAGCCAGCUUGACUGCGAGCGUGACGGCGCGAGCAGGUGCGAAAGCAGGUCAUAGUGAUCCGGUGGUUCUGAAUGGAAGGGCCAUCGCUCAACGGAUAAAAGGUACUCCGGGGAUAACAGGCUGAUACCGCCCAAGAGUUCAUAUCGACGGCGGUGUUUGGCACCUCGAUGUCGGCUCAUCACAUCCUGGGGCUGAAGUAGGUCCCAAGGGUAUGGCUGUUCGCCAUUUAAAGUGGUACGCGAGCUGGGUUUAGAACGUCGUGAGACAGUUCGGUCCCUAUCUGCCGUGGGCGCUGGAGAACUGAGGGGGGCUGCUCCUAGUACGAGAGGACCGGAGUGGACGCAUCACUGGUGUUCGGGUUGUCAUGCCAAUGGCACUGCCCGGUAGCUAAAUGCGGAAGAGAUAAGUGCUGAAAGCAUCUAAGCACGAAACUUGCCCCGA
rnacentral:rRNA from 2 species